AGUGAACGCUGGCGGUAGGCCUAACACAUGCAAGUCGAACGGCAGCACAGUACUAGCUUGCUCUUACGGGUGGCGAGUGGCGGACGGUUGCUGAAUACAUCGGAAUCUACUUUUUCGUGGGGGCUAACGUAGGGACACUUACGCUAAUACCGCAUACGACCUACGUGUGAAAGCAGGGGAUCUUCGGACCUUGCGCGAUUGAAUGAGCCGAUGUCGGAUUAGCUAGUUGGCGGGGUAAAGGCCCACCAAGGCGACGAUCCGUAGCUGGUCUGAGAGGAUGAUCAGCCACACUGGAACUGAGACACGGUCCAGACUCCUACGGGAGGCAGCAGUGGGGAAUAUUGGACAAUGGGCGCAAGCCUGAUCCAGACAUACCGCGUGGGUGAAGAAGGCCUUCGGGUUGUAAAGCACUUUUGGUGGGAAAGAAAAGCAGCAGGUUAAUACCCCGCUGUUCUGACGGUACCAAAAGAAUAAGCACCGGCUAACUUCGUG
rnacentral:rRNA from 1 species